rnacentral:rRNA from 1 species
CACGUAGGGCGCAAGCGUUGUCCGGAAUUAUUGGGCGUAAAGAGCUCGUAGGCGGUCUGUUGCGUCCGCUGUGAAAACUCGGGGCUUAACCCCGAGCCUGCAGUGGAUACGGGCAGACUAGAGGUAGGUAGGGGAGAAUGGAAUUCCCGGUGUAGCGGUGAAAUGCGCAGAUAUCGGGAGGAACACCGGUGGCGAAGGCGGUUCUCUGGGCCGACACUGACACUGAGAGACGAAAGCUAGGGGAGCGAAUGGG